ensembl:rRNA 5S_rRNA 5S ribosomal RNA
UGAAGCAGCCUCACAAACCAAUAGCUAUCACUCACCUGAUCGUCCACUGAAACUAAGCAUGGUUCAGCCUGGUCAGUACCUGGAUGGGAGGCCUCUUGAGAAAACUAGGUUGCUGCUAGAA